CACGUGGGAGGCGAGCGUUGUCCGGAUUCAUUGGGCGUAAAGAGCGCGCAGGCGGUUUGGCAAGUCGGAUGUGAAAUCCCGCGGCUCAACCUCGGGACUGCAUCCGAUACUGCCCGACUAGAGGUAGGUAGGGGAGAUCGGAAUUCCUGGUGUAGCGGUGAAAUGCGCAGAUAUCAGGAGGAACACCGGUGGCGAAGGCGAGUCCCUGGAAAACUCCUGACACUGAGGCACGAAAGCUAGGGGAGCAAACAGG
rnacentral:rRNA from 1 species